CCGACGUCGCAUGCUCCCGGCCGCCAUGGCGGCCGCGGGAAUUCGAUUCGUCUGAUUAGCUAGUUGGUGUGGUAAGAGCGCACCAAGGCGACGAUCAGUAGCUGGUCUGAGAGGAUGACCAGUCACACUGGGACUGAGACACGGCCCAGACUCCUACGGGAGGCAGCAGUGGGGAAUUUUCCGCAAUGGGCGAAAGCCUGACGGAGCAAUACCGCGUGAGGGAGGAAGGCUCUUGGGUUGUAAACCUCUUUUCUCAGGGAAUAAGAAAGUGAAGGUACCUGAGGAAUCAGCAUCGGCUAACUCCGUGCCAGCAGCCGCGGUAAUACGGAGGAUGCAAGCGUUAUCCGGAAUGAUUGGGCGUAAAGCAUCCGCAGGUGGUUGCUCAAGUCUGCUGUCAAAGAGUCUGGCUCAACCAGAUAAAGGCAGUGGAAACUGAGAGACUAGAGUGCGGUAGGGGCAGAGGGAAUUCCUGGUGUAGCGGUGAAAUGCGUAGAGAUCAGGAAGAACACCGGUGGCGAAAGCGCUCUGCUGGACCGCAACUGACACUGAGGGACGAAAGCUAGGGGAGCGAAUGGGAUUAGAUACCCCAGUAGUC
rnacentral:rRNA from 1 species